ACAUUUUGAAAUUUGAAAAUUUCACAGCAGUCCCGCACACUUUUCAAAUUUCAUUUAUUAGUUUACCUCAUUCCAUCAGCUAGAAACCGCAAAACUCCCCCUCCCCAAAUCGUGAGAAAUUAAACCGAUCUCUGUCACUCUCCUCUCUCUUAACAUUUCACCAACAACAAUCAUUUUUCAGUUUUCUCCUUGCUUCCUCGUCCACCUUGAGUCCUCAGUUUGUGAAGGGAAUUUAUGGAAAUUGACAUUGAUGAGCUUCUGGGUCACAAUUGGCCGGUGAGCAUUCCGACGAAGAGGCGAUUUACAUGUGAGGAUAUUGCAUGUCCGAGCAGACAGGUUGAAAUGAGAAGGAGCAGAAGUUAAGGAUCCCGAAGCAACUCUCCGGAGCUUUUUAGGUGCACGGCGGGGGCUAAUUGGUGGUGGCUGGACAUUGUUUGUGAUCGCGAGCACACCGCUUAUGCUGCCUCAGAUGGGUUGCUUUUUCUUGGGGAUCAGAGAAAGGUUUUGGUUGGAAGAAUUGGGUCAUAAGGUAUUGCUAUCUCUCUUGUUUGAACUGUAGUAAAUGAUAUUUCUAUCAUGGCGUACAUGACGAGUUGACUACCUAAGUGUUAUCUGGAAAAGGAGAAUUAAAGAUGAUUCCUUUGGUGGAUGUUGAACAAGUAUUGGUAUGUAUUGCAUCUAAUGCUAAAUGAAGUUUCAAUGUUCCUUGACUCUUUGAUCCUUAUAAUUUCAGGUGUCUUGGGUACUUUUUUGACAUGCACCGUGUACUCACUUGGAUCAUGAUUACUUGCCUUUUGUCUAAUUGACUUUGUGAAUUUGAAUUGUUUUGUAUAUGAUGUCCUUAAGUGAUGAGUUUUGAUUUCUAAGCUUUAUAUUUUUCCUUGUUUGUCUCAUAGGUGGUUGGUGGUUCUAAUUCAUGAGGGUUUAUAAUUCAAAUAUCAACUACUACGUUUGGGCACCUGCAAAUUUGAAUUGUGAUUGGCUUGCUAGAGAUGUGUGUUUUCUUGAAGAAAGGAUUGCAGAGAAGAUGAAUAUCAUUGGAGGACCAAGAAUGGAACUAGGACUUGAGUUUGUUUUAGAGUGAAACAAAGUCUACAUGUUUUGGUACACACUGUAGCAUAACUCAGUGAUUUGGUUUUCUUAAUAUAACUACUCAUUUUGUUGUUAGCUUUUAGUUUAAUAUUUGAAUAUGUGAAUUUUUAUAAAGUAAAUAUGCAAUCUUGUAAAUAA
rnacentral:sRNA from 1 species